AGUGCAGUACCAACUACCACCACCAUCACCAGUGCAGUACCAACUACCACCACCACCAGCGCAGCAUCAGCUACCACCAACAGCAGCGCAGUCCCAACUACCCCCACCAUCAGAGCAACACCAACCACAACCAGAGCAGUAUCAACCACCACCACCUACACAACAAAGCACCCACUGUCAUUGACACGACGUAAACGUCUAGCUGUUAACUACCCAACUACCACAACUGUUCCAACCACCACAAUAAACACCAACGGGCUUUAUAGAGCAUCAAUCCCUCCUUUAAGCAAACUCCCUUUGGAUUUCUCUGUUCAUGUGGACUCGCACCAUGCUCCUUCUUGUCUUGACGGUGAUUACUUUCCUGUCUUCUUGGCACCAACUCCAGCAGAAGGAGCUUAUCUUCCUGCAUUUAUAAACCAGCCUCUUGAAAUAAAAGUCAGAUCCAUGGCUCAGUACACAACGAUUCACGACUUGCUUGUUGUCGGACCUGCUGGCAUAUUGAAGGAGAAAGUCUCUUCAGACACAUACGUCCUAAAAUGGACCCCAUCUCCAAAUCAGCUGUAUGAUUAUUUCCCAGUUUGCUUCAUAUCUGAGGCAAG